rnacentral:rRNA from 1 species
AGCGAGUCUGAAUAGGGCGAAUGAGUAUUUGGUCGUAGACCCGAAACCAGGUGAUCUACCCUUGGUCAGGUUGAAGUUCAGGUAACACUGAAUGGAGGACCGAACCGACUUACGUUGAAAAGUGAGCGGAUGAACUGAGGGUAGCGGAGAAAUUCCAAUCGAACUUGGAGAUAGCUGGUUCUCUCCGAAAUAGCUUUAGGGCUAGCCUCAAGUGAUGAUUAUUGGAGGUAGAGCACUGUUUGGACGAGGGGCCCCUCUCGGGUUACCGAAUUCAGACAAACUCCGAAUGCCAAAUAAUUUAACUUGGGAGUCAGAAUGUGGGUGAUAAGGUCCAUAUUCGAAAGGGAAACAGCCCAGACCACCAGCUAAGGUCCCAAAAUAUAUGUUAAGUGGAAAAGGAUGUGGCGUUGCCCAGACAACUAGGAUGUUGGCUUAGAAGCAGCCAUCAUUUAAAGAGUGCGUAAUAGCUCACUAGUCGAGUGACACUGCGCCGAAAAUGUACCGGGGCUAAACAUAUUACCGAAGCUGUGGAUUGUCCUUUGGACAAUGGUAGGAGAGCGUUCUAAGGGCGUUGAAGCAUGAUCGCAAGGACAUGUGGAGCGCUUAGAAGUGAGAAUGCCGGUGUGAGUAGCGAAAGACGGGUGAGAAUCCCGUCCACCGAUUGACUAAGGUUUCCAGAGGAAGGCUCGUCCGCUCUGGGUUAGUCGGGUCCUAAGCUGAGGCCGACAGGCGUAGGCGAUGGAUAACAGGUUGAUAUUCCUGUACCACCAUUAUUCGUUUUAAGCGAUGGGGGGACGCAGUAGGAUAGGCGAAGCGUGCUGUUGGAGUGCACGUCCAAGCAGUGAGAUUGAGUGUUAGGCAAAUCCGGCACUCUUAAGAUUGAGCUGUGAUGGGGAGAGGAACUUGUUCCUCGAGUCGUUGAUUUCACACUGCCGAGAAAAGCCUCUAGCUAGAAUAACGGUGCCCGUACCGCAAACCGACACAGGUAGUCAAGAUGAGAAUUCUAAGGUGAGCGAGCGAACUCUCGUUAAGGAACUCGGCAAAAUGACCCCGUAACUUCGGGAGAAGGGGUGCUCUUUGAGGUUCACGCUUCGAAGAGCCGCAGUGAAUAGGCCCAAGCGACUGUUUAUCAAAAACACAGGUCUCUGCUAAACCGUAAGGUGACGUAUAGGGGCUGACGCCUGCCCGGUGCUGGAAGGUUAAGAGGAGUGGUUAGCGCAAGCGAAGCUACGAAUCGAAGCCCCAGUAAACGGCGGCCGUAACUAUAACGGUCCUAAGGUAGCGAAAUUCCUUGUCGGGUAAGUUCCGACCCGCACGAAAGGCGUAACGAUUUGGGCACUGUCUCAACGAGAGACUCGGUGAAAUCAUAGUACCGGUGAAGAUGCCGGUUACCCGCGACAGGACGGAAAGACCCCGUGGAGCUUUACUGUAGCCUGAUAUUGAAAUUCGGUACAGUUUGUACAGGAUAGGUAGGAGCCUUAGAAGCGUGAGCGCUAGCUUACGUGGAGGCAUUGGUGGGAUACUACCCUAAUUGUAUUGGAUUUCUAACCCGCAGCACUUAUCGUGCUGGGAGACAGUGUCAGGCGGGCAGUUUGACUGGGGCGGUCGCCUCCUAAAGAGUAACGGAGGCGCUCAAAGGUUCCCUCAGAAUGGUUGGAAAUCAUUCAUAGAGUGUAA